UGCUUCUCUGGUUGAUAGCUUUUAGG
rnacentral:piRNA from 1 species